UGCCCGUGUUCUCGCAGUGUGCUGAGCAGAGAAGUAAGUGCACCACGUUAAUAGAUGUACUCUAUAAAACAAACACAUCAAACAAACAGACAGAAGUCCAUAAGUAGAAUUCUGUGGACAUGCGUGGUUAAACCAGGUCAACCAGGUGGGUUUCCUGUAAGACUGCUCCGAACGUUCACCACGCUGCUGCACAGCGGGAACUCCAAAAUGGAAAUGUGGGCAUGCAACGUUUCCCGCACAUUUGACCUCAAAACCUUUUUUUUCUCUCAGUGUUCGUUUAAGUGUUUUCCGUAUAUACUAUUAGCAACACUCUUUGGAAAGUGAUUUCCUACACAAAUCUAGGUUCUUACUAUCAUUGCCUCCAAGCUAAAAAGCCUGGCUCCUUCAGCUACUCAUUUUGAGACAAAGUGUUUAGUUUUCUCAUUAUCUUCCCUCACUCUUGUUCUCUAGUAGGGCUAUCAGAUUAAAAU